UUUGGAAGGGGAGGAGGGAAAGGGUGAGUCUAGUAUUUAGCUAGUUUAGUACUGAGCAGCUGGCUGAGCACCUGCAGGGGAAAGCAGAGAUGGGUGCUCUUUCUGCUGGAAGGGAUGUGACACACAUGGAUCAGCUGAGGAGAUGAAGGGCUGGCCAUCUCCAGAAGAUAACAGAGGUUGGGAACUGCUGCUCUACAAAAGAGGCAAACAACAAUUUUCCUCAGUUCCAAGUGACAACAAAAACCAAGACUGGUUGCUAUACUACCUAGAUCCCCAUGAAGUAUGUGAACCAAGGAUCCAGAAGCACAGCUGGCACAACUGAGGCAGCUCACACCUGGUGCUCUUGCACAAUAAAGACAUGCUUACACCAGCUUAUCAUCUAAGCCUGGAGAACAGUGGGAAGCUUCUGCAAAGCUGCAAGUUGCAAAGACAACCUUGGUUCAGCUGUAUUAAGGUUUGAAACUCUGGGAUCAUGCAGCAUAGAUGGGUUAUCUUAACUUAAGCAUGCUAUUUAAAAGCUUCUCACAGCAGACCUAGCCAAUACUAUAAAGUACUGAUUGC